rnacentral:tRNA from 1 species
GGGGUCAUGGUCUAGGGGUAUGACAUUCCCUUAGCAUGGGGAGAGAUCCGGGGUUCGAUUCCCCGUGACUCCA